rnacentral:lncRNA from 1 species
ACCACCCUGCAGGUCAGAUCAGAGGGCCUUGCGGAGAGCGAGCUGUGUGGAAAUACAGGUCAGGUGGCAGGCAGAGCACACUUCGGAAACCAGGCAAGUCCCCGCAAAGUAAAACACAGUGCUUAAGAAAACCCAUUGAAGACCACCGUUCUGAGGCACUGAGGGCCAGAGGAACACGAGUGGACAUGACUUCAAGAAGCCCCAUGUAAGUUCAGAACACGGUGCGAUCAGGAGCCCAGUGUACACAGACAUGAAUCUGGAGUUCUUGUCCAAAGGUGGUGGCAUGGACAGGAUCGAGACUCAGCUUUUCAUGAUUACACA